UAGGGAAUCUUCCGCAAUGGGCGAAAGCCUGACGGAGCAACGCCGCGUGAGUGAUGAAGGUCUUCGGAUCGUAAAACUCUGUUAUUAGGGAAGAACAUAUGUGUAAGUAACUGUGCACAUCUUGACGGUACCUAAUCAGAAAGCCACGGCUAACUACGUGCCAGCAGCCGCGGUAAUACGUAGGUGGCAAGCGUUAUCCGGAAUUAUUGGGCGUAAAGCGCGCGUAGGCGGUUUUUUAAGUCUGAUGUGAAAGCCCACGGUUCAACCGUGGAGGGUCAUUGGAAACUGGAAAACUUGAGUGCAGAAGAGGAAAGUGGAAUUCCAUGUGUAGCGGUGAAAUGCGCAGAGAUAUGGAGGAACACCAGUGGCGAAGGCGACUUUCUGGUCUGUAACUGACGCUGAUGUGCGAAAGCGUGGGGAUCAAACAGGAUUAGAUACCCUGGUAGUCCACGCCGUAAACGAUGAGUGCUAAGUGUUAGGGGGUUUCCGCCCCUUAGUGCUGCAGCUAACGCAUUAAGCACUCCGCCUGGGGAGUACGACCGCAAGGUUG
rnacentral:rRNA from 1 species